rnacentral:rRNA from 1 species
AUGAACGCUAGCUACAGGCUUAACACAUGCAAGUCGAGGGGCAGCAUUUUAGUUUGCUUGCAAACUGAAGAUGGCGACCGGCGCACGGGUGAGUAACACGUAUCCAACCUGCCGAUAACUCCGGAAUAGCCUUUCGAAAGAAAGAUUAAUACCGGAUAGUAUACGAAUAUCGCAUGAUAUUUUUAUUAAAGAAUUUCGGUUAUCGAUGGGGAUGCGUUCCAUUAGUUUGUUGGCGGGGUAACGGCCCACCAAGACUACGAUGGAUAGGGGUUCUGAGAGGAAGGUCCCCCACAUUGGAACUGAGACACGGUCCAAACUCCUACGGGAGGCAGCAGUGAGGAAUAUUGGUCAAUGGGCGAGAGCCUGAACCAGCCAAGUAGCGUGAAGGAUGAAGGCUCUAUGGGUCGUAAACUUCUUUUAUAUGGGAAUAAAGUAUUCCACGUGUGGAAUUUUGUAUGUACCAUAUGAAUAAGGAUCGGCUAACUCCGUGCCAGCAGCCGCGGUAAUACGGAGGAUCCGAGCGUUAUCCGGAUUUAUUGGGUUUAAAGGGAGCGUAGGUGGAUUGUUAAGUCAGUUGUGAAAGUUUGCGGCUCAACCGUAAAAUUGCAGUUGAAACUGGCAGUCUUGAGUACAGUAGAGGUGGGCGGAAUUCGUGGUGUAGCGGUGAAAUGCUUAGAUAUCACGAAGAACUCCGAUUGCGAAGGCAGCUCACUAGACUGUUACUGACACUGAUGCUCGAAAGUGUGGGUAUCAAACAGGAUUAGAUACCCUGGUAGUCCACGCCGUAAACGAUGAAUACUAGGUGUUGGGAAGCAUUGCUUCUCGGUGCCGUCGCAAACGCAGUAAGUAUUCCACCUGGGGAGUACGUUCGCAAGAAUGAAACUCAAAGGAAUUGACGGGGGCCCGCACAAGCGGAGGAACAUGUGGUUUAAGUCGAUGAUACGCGAGGAACCUUACCCGGGCUUAAAUUGCAACAGAAUAUAUUGGAAACAGUAUAGCCGUAAGGCUGUUGUGAAGGUGCUGCAUGGUUGUCGUCAGCUCGUGCCGUGAGGUGUCGGCUUAAGUGCCAUAACGAGCGCAACCCUUAUCUUUAGUUACUAACAGGUCAUGCUGAGGACUCUAGAGAGACUGCCGUCGUAAGAUGUGAGGAAGGUGGGGAUGACGUCAAAUCAGCACGGCCCUUACGUCCGGGGCUACACACGUGUUACAAUGGGGGGUACAGAAGGCCGCUACCUGGUGACAGGAUGCUAAUCCCAAAAACCUCUCUCAGUUCGGAUCGAAGUCUGCAACCCGACUUCGUGAAGCUGGAUUCGCUAGUAAUCGCGCAUCAGCCAUGGCGCGGUGAAUACGUUCCCGGGCCUUGUACACACCGCCCGUCAAGCCAUGAAAGCCGGGGGUACCUGAAGUACGUAACCGCAAGGAGCGUCCUAGGGUAAAACUGGUAAUUGGGGCU